CCUCGCUCCGCUGGCAGCGGCUCCGCGCCGGCGUUCGGGGAUCGCGGCCCAGCCCCGGCGGCGGGGGAGCCGCGGAGGAGCCGCGACCCCGCGGGCAGCGCAUCCGCUCCCGGCCGCGGCCCAUGCGGACACCGAGCGGCGGCCGCGGCCUGCCCAGGAACGCCCCUGGAGCAGCUGAGCCCCCCCCGCCAUGGCCUCGCCCCCCCCGCCCGCAGUAGGAUCUGCCCCGGAUCCCCCCAGCCCCGCGGGGAUGGAGGAGCUGGGCCAGGCCUUCGACUUCGAGGACAGCGAGGAGGAGGAGGAGGAGGAGGGGGAGGACGAGGACUCGGAUUCGGGAGCCGAUCCCUGCCCUGAUCCCGGAGCCAUCCCAGAGCCGAUCCCAGAGCCGAUCCCGGAGCCGAUCCCGGUGCUGACGUCGCUCUCCAGGCGCCCCCGCGCCGGCGGCGCCCACCCAGCUCCGGUGAGAGCAUUCCUGGGACUCUUGGUGUGGAAUUCCUGUUCAUUCCCAGUGCAGAAUUCCCCGUAUUCCCUUGUGGAAUUCCUGUUCAUUCCCGGUGCGGAAUUCCCGGUAUUCCCAGUGUGGAAUUCCUGCUCAUUCCCAGUACAA
rnacentral:lncRNA from 14 species